rnacentral:tRNA from 1 species
CCCUGUCUCACAGAGGCAGUGGGCAUGCCCUCCGGAGCCGUGUGCGCAGGUUCGAAUCCUGCCGGGGGCA